rnacentral:rRNA from 1 species
GUCUUUUUGAUUUUAAUAUUAAAGUCAAAUCUGCCCACUGAUUUAUAUUAAAGGGCUGCAGUAUAUUGACUGUACAAAGGUAGCAUAAUAAAUAGUCUUUUAAUUGAAGACUUGUAUGAAAGAUUUGAUGAGAUAUAAACUGUCUCUUUUUUAUAUUUAGAAUUUAAUUUUUUAGUAAAAAAGCUAAAAUUAGUUUAAAAGACGAGAAGACCCUAUAGAGUUUUAUAUUUAAUUUAUUUAUAUAUUUAUUUGUAUAAUUUAAAAUUUAAUUAAUUUAAUUAUUUUGUUGGGGUGAUAGAAAAAUAUAUUAAACUUUUUUUAAAAAAUUACAUUAAUUAAUGAGUAUAUGAUCCAUAAAUUAUGAUUAAAAGAAAAAAUUACCUUAGGGAUAACAGCGUAAUUUUUUUUUUUAGUUCUUAUAGGAAAAAGAGUUUGCGACCUCGAUGUUGGAUUAAGAUAAAAUUUAAAUGUAGAAGUUUAAAAUUUUUGAUCUGUUCGAUCAUUAAAAUCUUACA